GAGUUUGAUCCUGGCUCACGGACGAACGCUGGCGGCAGGCUUAACACAUGCAAGUCGAGCGCCCUGCCUGCAGGGAGCGGCAGACGGGUGAGUAACGCGUGGGAACGUGCCCUUUGGUACGGAAUAGCCCCGGGAAACUGGGUGUAAUACCGUAUACGACCUCAGGGUGAAAGAUUUAUCGCCGAAGGAUCGGCCCGCGUUAGAUUAGCUAGUUGGUGGGGUAAAGGCCUACCAAGGCGACGAUCUAUAGCUGUUCUGAGAGGAAGAUCAGCCACACUGGGACUGAGACACGGCCCAGACUCCUACGGGAGGCAGCAGUGGGGAAUAUUGGACAAUGGGGGAAACCCUGAUCCAGCCAUGCCGCGUGGAUGAAGAAGGCCCUAGGGUUGUAAAGUCCUUUCGCUAGGGAAGAUAAUGACGGUACCUAGUAAAGAAGCCCCGGCUAAUUUCGUGCCAGCAGCCGCGGUAAUACGAAAGGGGCUAGCGUUGUUCGGAAUUACUGGGCGUAAAGCGCACGUAGGCGGCCAUGUAAGUUGGGGGUGAAAUCCCGGAGCUCAACUCCGGAACUGCCUCCAAAACUACAUGGCUCGAGGACGCGAGAGGAUAGUGGAAUUCCGAGUGUAG
rnacentral:rRNA from 1 species